CCUGGGUCCACCAGUCAGCACCCUGCUUUCUGCAUGAAUCUGACUCUGGGUGAUGGAGGUCUUGGGCUUUAGGGGGUGAUUUAAUCUGUCAGUGACUGUCCCGUUUUCUUCCCUGCAGGUAGGCAGGAGCCCCCCGUGGCCGAGUGAGGCAGCAUGGCAACCUGUGUGGAGGCUGCGUGCAGCGUGUGCUGGGAGCUCAAGGAGCAUGGCAGUAGUGAGUGGAGAGACACAGAGAUCUGUCUGGGAUCUCAGGAUUUGCUCGGAGUGUCGCCGGAGCCAGCGGUGAAGGUGGAGGCAGUGUCCAUGCUGAGGAGGACGAGGAGGACCCCAGGGAUGACAGGUAUGCCUUCUUUCAUUAUGUGUGCUGUGCUGGGUGGGGGAGGGAGCAGAGAUCUUCAGGCAGUGUUUUUAAAAGGCUACUUUAAUCUCCAGUUAAUGAGGAGGGUGCCCAGCUGGGUCCCUGCCUUCCUGCACUGCUGCCUUUUCUCCCUCCCAGAGCUCAGGGGCUGGCUCACCAGCAUUUCCUGGUUGUGGAAGGUGUCCCCAGUGGUGGCAGUGUCCCCUGCCAAGUCAGCCCUUCACGGUGACCCUGCUGUGCAGGAGGGGGAUGUGGUGAUGAGCCUGUUCCCCAUCACAUGCUGUGCAGCAGCGAGCAGCCCCGUCUGUCCCUCUGCAGGCACAGCUGCGUGUCCUUCUCCAGAGAAACAGCCCUGGGGGGUCCCCAAGCUGGGCAGCCGAGAUGUGGGCUGGUGUCCUCCAGGGGCCAUCAGCAGCCCAGGAAAACCAGCAGGGAUGAGGUGAACCCAGCCCUCAGUCCUACUUCCCCCGCCUAAAACUCUGAUCUUUCCUGAGCACCGGUUCUCCAGCUGGUGUGGGGAGACUUGGAGAGGCACAGGGGGUCAGUGCUGAGGGUGCUGGGCCUUGGGAAGUCCCCUCAGCCCUGGGGCUUAGGGACAGGACCUGCUCUGCUGUCUGCUCUUCAUGUCAGUUGGGGAUCCAGGUUGGGGAUGAGAGGCUCUUGUUUCCUGAAAGCCUCUGUGGCUUUCCUGCUCUGGUCCCCAGGCACGUGGGAGCUCUUUGCACUUUCCAUGUAGCAGAGGAGAGGGAGCAGUGACUUAGUUUCUGCUCUCCUGCCAUUUGUAGGAAAUUGCAUGUGGGGAGAGACACACCCCUCUGUCACAGCAUGCUUGGAGUUGGGACACUGCUCGUGAUACCUGCCUGCCUGUGUGUCUGUUUUUAUUUCCCACCAUAGUGGCCAGUUCAGCACAGCAAAGCAGGGAAGGGGUCAAGUGACCGGUGUCUGCAGGGAUGGAAAGCCCUGACAGUGAGAUCUGCAGCCAAGCUUGUUGCUCCAACGUGUGCUGAGGAAGUUGGAAAGAGUCUCAGGCUCAAGUGCUGAGGAGGGGAGAGUUCACACCGCAGCCUGAUCAAGGUGGGAGGCAAAGGAGGUGAGGCCAGACUUCUCCAGCAAAGGAUGGGACAUUUGCAGAAUGGGUGCUGUCUCUGUAAAAUUUCAUCUUCUUCUGGAAAGGCUCAAGAGGAGGUCGGCCUGACAGCCUGCUCUCUCUCCAGCCAGGAUAACCCUCCUCAACUGUGAAAGCCAAGGCAAGCUGAUCCCUGCCUGCCCUUCUGUGAGAUGCCUUCUGUGCCUCUUGAAAAUGCUUUUUCGGUUUUCCUUGUAAAAAAACAAAAAAAAAACAAAAAAAAAAAGGUUUGCAUAAUAAAGUCGAUUCUGAGGGAAGAUCUGUGACUCA
ensembl:lncRNA